GGUCGGCUGGGCUGGGCUUACCUCCUCCAUUGCAGCCUCGUGGCCGGGAGGGUCCUGCGCCGGCUUUGGGGGUCCGAUGACGUAGCUCCGGACUCUGCAGCCCCUCAGGGAGCGGCUGCCCACGUGUAGUGUUCACCUGCAUAGCGUGAGAGGAAAUCUUGAGCUUCUAUUUUCCCGGCCUCCAGCCCUAGGCAACUACUGAUGGAACCGUAGCAUGAUGCCUGGCUGCUCCCACUAAGGAUGAUGUUUGCAAGGUCCAUUCAUGCUUGCGUUGGUGCCGGUUCCAUGAGCUCUGAGGGAAGGGAUUUGAUGAAGACAUCCCAUCGGGGCUGAGUAUUCCAAGUCCCUGCAUAAUAUCUGGCUGUGGGUCUCUGUAUUUGUUCCCUUCUGUUGCAGAAGGAAGCUUCUCUCCUGACGGCUGAGCAUGGCACAAAGUGUUACUGUUGAAUCUUGACGUGGAUUCUUUUCUGCCUUGUGAGGAACCAGCACACUGAUUCUCAUAGCAGCUGCAGUAGUUUUCACUCCCAUAAGUGUUAAUAAGUGUUCCCCUUAUCCCACAUCCUCACGAGCAGAACUGGUAUUACUGAUCUUGGCCUUUCUGACUGUGGUAAUAAGAAAUCUGAGAAUAGUUUUGAUUUGUGUGUU